rnacentral:rRNA from 1 species
CCCCUAGAUGUUCUGGGCCGCACGCGCGCUACACUGAACAGUUCAACAAGUCUUAACCUUGGCCGGUAGGUCUGGGUAAUCUUUGAACGCUGUUCGUGACUGGGAUAGACCUUUGCAAUUAUGGGUCUUCAACGAGGAAUUCCUAGUAAACGCAAGUCAUCAGCUUGCAUUGAUUACGUCCCUGCCCUUUGUACACACCGCCCGUCGCACCUACCGAUUGAAUGGUCCGGUGAAAUCUCGGGACGGCGGCUUGGUCGCUUGCGUCCGACUGCUGAAACUUGAUUAAACCAUAUCAUUUAGAGGAAGGUGAAGUCGUANCA